AGAAACUAAAGCUUCCCAGCCACACUUCUUUUUGUAUUGAGUCAAAAUCUUCUUUUUGUUCGUAGAUUAUCUUCAAAAAAGAUGGUCUUAUAUGCCAGGAAGGAAAGCUAGAGGCUGGUGUUCAUCUACUUGGGAAGUCUUACGGAAUCAAGGUUGGAUAUGGUGGCAUUCCUGGUCCUUCGUAUGGAAGAGACGCGUCGGCUUCUCAAGCAGGAGAGAUAUCGGUAACUAUUUGUCUUUGGGUCUUUUUGCUGUUUUAUAGUCUGUUUUGUUUCUAGGUUUUGCUUUUCUUUUUUAUUUUCUCUGUCGUCGUUCGUCGUAUAUAGCUUUUUUUUUAUUUUUAGGGCAAGUCUGAUCGGCAGAUAGUUGGUCGUCACGAUGUCGUUUCUACUUUUUAAGGUGGAAAGUUGGAACCAAAAAGUCAGAAACACGCAUAGUUGUUGAAUUUGCUGAUUACUAUAUUUAUUUAUUAUCGUAUAAAUACAAAUACAUGUCUUUUGAUCAACUGUAUGACGAUGGAAAUAAUUUGUAUAUGGUUAGGCAUUCAAUAUACCCUGAACACCUGUGCAUACCGUGUAGAGGCCCUCCAUGUUUUAUAAAUAAGAUACAAAAUUAUAACCAAGAAUCCAAGGGGUUACACUAAGACAAUCGAAGUUGGUUAAUCUAAUUUGGUGUUGUCUUCACAUAAACAAAGUGCCCAUUUUUACCCUUUUUAGUCAACCCAUAUUGUGCCCACCCUCCUAAAAGUUUCUGAAUUCGCCAAUGUAUGUAUGUGUAUGGGUUAACAUUCUUUUCAACCAGAGAUGGAAGUGGCGAUUGAUGAACUCUGUUAGGUCUCUUUCUCUAACGUUGUAACGUUCCAUUAUAAGUUGGCCAUCUUAGAUCACGCAAGGUUAGCUAUGGAGAUGGUGAGCUAAUAGAUUAUGCUGCCACAUUGUAUAAAUGGUUCCAAGGUUCUUGAAACAGGUAACAAUUUGAUAUGUACUUUUCUCCGCAAUUCGCUCUCAUUCCAUCCGCAUCCGCCUCUCAUAGUUCCAUCAUUAGGAUGCGGAUUUCGAAUAGUAGGCUACAUCCCCCAGGUAACAAUCGAUUGUCGUGUUAUUUUAACACUUUUUGUAUUUUGUUAAACUGGUCUAUCUGUUCAUGGUUAUAAUCUGUAGUUGGCUAUUCUUUUAUCUACCAUCUUCAAUGUGACAUGUUUUUUGGUCAAUUUCGUUCAACCUCUUAUGAAAGCAAGGCUGAUAUGGA